GGCCCCAUCGUCUAGCCCGGUCCAGGACAACUGGUUUUCAUCCAGUCAACUCCGGUUCAAAUCCGGAUGGGGUCACCA
rnacentral:tRNA from 5 species